rnacentral:rRNA from 1 species
GGCGUGCCUAAUACAUGCAAGUCGAGCGAGCUUGCCUAGAUGAAUUUGGUGCUUGCACCAAAUGAAACUAGAUACAAGCGAGCGGCGGACGGGUGAGUAACACGUGGGUAACCUGCCCAAGAGACUGGGAUAACACCUGGAAACAGAUGCUAAUACCGGAUAACAACACUAGACGCAUGUCUAGAGUUUAAAAGAUGGUUCUGCUAUCACUCUUGGAUGGACCUGCGGUGCAUUAGCUAGUUGGUAAGGUAACGGCUUACCAAGGCAAUGAUGCAUAGCCGAGUUGAGAGACUGAUCGGCCACAUUGGGACUGAGACACGGCCCAAACUCCUACGGGAGGCAGCAGUAGGGAAUCUUCCACAAUGGACGCAAGUCUGAUGGAGCAACGCCGCGUGAGUGAAGAAGGGUUUCGGCUCGUAAAGCUCUGUUGGUAGUGAAGAAAGAUAGAGGUAGUAACUGGCCUUUAUUUGACGGUAAUUACUUAGAAAGUCACGGCUAACUACGUGCCAGCAGCCGCGGUAAUACGUAGGUGGCAAGCGUUGUCCGGAUUUAUUGGGCGUAAAGCGAGUGCAGGCGG